GACGAACGCUGGCGGCGUGCUUAACACAUGCAAGUCGAACGGAAAGGCCCUGCUUGCAGGGUGCUCGAGUGGCGAACGGGUGAGUAACACGUGUGUGAUCUGCCCCUUACUUUGGGAUAAGCCUGGGAAACUGGGUCUAAUACUGGAUAGGACCAUGCUGUAGGUGGUGUGGUGGAAAGAUUAGUUUCGGUAAGGGAUGAGCUCGCGGCCUAUCAGCUUGUUGGUGGGGUAAUGGCCUACCAAGGCGUCGACGGGUAGCCGGCCUGAGAGGGUGGACGGCCACAUUGGGACGGAGAUACGGCCGAGACUCCUACGGGAGGCAGCAGUGGGGAAGAUUGCACAAUGGGCGCAAGCAUGAUGAAGCGACGACGCGUGGGGGAUGACGGCCUUCGGGUUGUAAACUCCUUCCAGCCAUGACGAAGCCCUUGUGGUGACGGUAGUGGUAGAAGAAGCACCGGCUAACUACGUG
rnacentral:rRNA from 1 species